GAUACACAAAACGUCACCAAAACACAGGAGAGAGAAGCAGCGCUGGGAUGGGGGGUCGUAUUCCAAGAAGAGGCUGUCCCAGGCUGCUCCUCAGGGGAGGGCUGGGUGGGUGCCCGAGUGUCCACCUGGGAUACUGAAUCCAGACAGGGUUUUCACUCCAGGGAUGGCCGCUGCAUUUUAUGGAGUGCUGCCCCAUCCUGCAAAGCCGCACCAGCCUGGAUGGGAUGGAAGCCCCAAAGCCACGCAGUGGCAUUUCCCACUAACCCCAGUUUGGUGCUCAUGAGGGUGGGAAAGUCCUCCAAGCAGCUUUCCCCUCACUAGGACAAAGGAUCUCCAGGAAGGCGAUGGGACCGAAAAUCCCCAGCUGGCUGCCCUUUCCCGGCUCAUCCCUGCAAACCUGCCCUGAGGAAUAUAUUUAGUCGCUGGAUUCCUUUAUGAUUCUGACCCCCUGACAUGGGCUGCAGGGCUGCAGCGGCUCC